rnacentral:rRNA from 1 species
UCUCGGGGCUAUAGCGUUAGAACGGCGAGUGAAGCGGCAAAAGCUCAAAUUUGAAAUCUGGCACCUUCGGUGUCCGAGUUGUAAUUUGAAGAAGGUAACUUUGGAGUUGGCUCUUGUCUAUGUUCCUUGGAACAGGACGUCACAGAGGGUGAGAAUCCCGUGCGAUGAGAUGCCCAAUUCUAUGUAAAGUGCUUUCGAAGAGUCGAGUUGUUUGGGAAUGCAGCUCUAAGUGGGUGGUAAAUUCCAUCUAAAGCUAAAUAUUGGCGAGAGACCGAUAGCGAACAAGUACAGUGAUGGAAAGAUGAAAAGAACUUUGAAAAGAGAGUGAAAAAGUACGUGAAAUUGUUGAAAGGGAAGGGCUUGAGAUCAGACUUGGUAUUUUGCGAUCCUUUCCUUCUUGGUUGGGUUCCUCGCAGCUUACUGGGCCAGCAUCGGUUUGGAUGGUAGGAUAAUGACUAAGGAAUGUGGCUCUACUUCGGUGGAGUGUUAUAGCCUUGGUUGAUACUGCCUGUCUAGACCGAGGACUGCGUCUUUUGACUAGGAUGUUGGCAUAAUGAUCUUAAGCCACCCCUCUUAACAAACGGAACAAAAAAAAAAAUAAACCCCCCCCCCCCCCCGCGGGGGGGGAUCUUGUAUAGUUUAGAAGCUGAAAGGACUGUUAUAAUAAUAAUUUUCCGC